rnacentral:rRNA from 2 species
AAAUUGAAGAGUUUGAUCAUGGCUCAGAUUGAACGCUGGCGGCAGGCCUAACACAUGCAAGUCGAACGGUAACAGGAAACAGCUUGCUGUUUCGCUGACGAGUGGCGGACGGGUGAGUAAUGUCUGGGAAACUGCCUGAUGGAGGGGGAUAACUACUGGAAACGGUAGCUAAUACCGCAUAACGUCGCAAGACCAAAGAGGGGGACCUUCGGGCCUCUUGCCAUCGGAUGUGCCCAG